UACGCCUUAGUAUAUGAUGUAUGAGGAUUUUUGAUAUCUUCGGGGAUAGUUUAAUUCUAUUAGGUGUAA
rnacentral:tRNA from 1 species